GUUCAUGUAUCUAAGUUGUAAAGUACUAGGUUCUUACCCUAGGAAUGUGAUGUGUCACCGUGGGCU
rnacentral:tRNA from 1 species